rnacentral:rRNA from 1 species
CCCUUAGAUGUUCUGGGCAGCACGCGCGCUACAAUGGUCUUCGCAAACGGAUGCAUUCUCGAAGGAGAAUGCCAAUCUUGGAAUCUAUGCCUUGGUCGGGACAGUUGCUUGCAAUUUUUCGACCCGAACCAGGAAUUCCUUGUAAUCGUGAUUCAUCACAUCACGAUGAAUACGUCCCUGCCCUUUGUACACACCGCCCGUCGCUCCUACCGAUCGAAGAGUUAGGUGAAUUGUUUUGAUCGAUAAGAUUUGACUAUGGUCAACUCUCGUUGUGAAAUUCUGUGAAGCUGACUGUUUAGAGGAAGGAAAAGUCGUAACA